UACGGGGGGGGCAAGCGUUGUUCGGAAUUACUGGGCGUAAAGGGCUUGUAGGUGGCCAACUAAGUCAGACGUGAAAUCCCUCAGCUUAACUGGGGAACUGCGUCUGAUACUGGAUGGCUUGAGAUUGGGAGAGGGACGUGGAAUUCCAGGUGUAGCGGUGAAAUGCGUAGAUAUCUGGAGGAACACCGGUGGCGAAGGCGGCAUCCUGGACCGGCAUUGACGCUGAGGCGCGAAAGCCAGGGGAGCAAACGGG
rnacentral:rRNA from 1 species